rnacentral:rRNA from 1 species
AGCGAACGCUGGCGGCAGGCUUAACACAUGCAAGUCGAACGGGCACCUUCGGGUGUCAGUGGCAGACGGGUGAGUAACACGUGGGAACGUGCCCUUCGGUUCGGAAUAACUCAGGGAAACUUGAGCUAAUACCGGAUACGCCCUUCUGGGGAAAGGUUUACUGCCGAAGGAUCGGCCCGCGUCUGAUUAGCUUGUUGGUGGGGUAACGGCCUACCAAGGCGACGAUCAGUAGCUGGUCUGAGAGGAUGAUCAGCCACACUGGGACUGAGACACGGCCCAGACUCCUACGGGAGGCAGCAGUGGGGAAUAUUGGACAAUGGGCGCAAGCCUGAUCCAGCCAUGCCGCGUGAGUGAUGAAGGCCUUAGGGUUGUAAAGCUCUUUUGUCCGGGACGAUAAUGACGGUACCGGAAGAAUAAGCCCCGGCUAACUUCGUGCCAGCCGCCGCGGUAAU